rnacentral:rRNA from 1 species
AUGAUGGAUAGGCCAAGUUCCUCUACCAACCCACUCUUCAUCGAUCAAGACGGUGACAUGUCAUCAUUCGUCACCAAGAGCCACCUCUUUGGUGCACAACGAGCGCUACAUCAAGAGCAACAAGCAAUGAACGACCGCAUCACAACCUCGCCACCGACUUGCGACUCUCCGAGCAACGUACACAGGACUACUUUGACAACAGACUCGACACGCACAAGCAAGAGAAUGAUGCAAGAAUGGACGAGAUCCGAGCUUUGUUGGUCAACCGGCCUCCUUAAACUUCUUCCUACUCAAGACGGAGCCACUCCAGUCGACACUCCGACGACACCUUCUCUGGCUCAAGUACAACGUCAUCGACCAUCCUUCCACGAGCCGCACGUCAAGACCAUCAUGCAUCUUGCAACCCGCUCCACAUCAAGCAUUCACAAGACCAAGUCGAUGGGCAAGUUCCUUGUCCUCAAGCAAACCAAGUCGCUUUUGCUCAAGCUCAAGAACGACAACUUCUUCGUCGUCAAGAAGAAGAAGAAUGAGCGCAUCUACACCAAGAGGAACAAGACGCCGAGGCCGAAUGACUUCAACAACAACAACAACGAGAAGCACAAGCUCUUGAGGCGGAACGUGCCCUUCAAGAAUCAAGUUGAGCCAUCGCCAACCACAAUCGCGAACAGCGCAAUCAAGAGGAAGCCCUUCGAGAAGAAAUACAAGAGAGGGACUGUCAACCCACGUGUGCACCUUCCAGCUCCUCAAGCUCCUCCACUAGCUCGUCAAGCUCCACCUCAACCUCAAGUUCAACAAGAGCAAGUUGAUCAUGAACUUCCUCCACGCCAAGAGCAAUAUGAGGAUGAUUACCCUCCACGUCAAGGGCUUCAUCAUCACCAUCGCCAACAACACAAUGAAGAGCAAUGCUAUGGAAAGCUCAAAUUCACAAUGCCCAAGUUCAAUGGAAGCAAUGAUCCGGAAGAAUAUCUCUCAUGGGCAUUGAAGGUCGACAAAAUCUUUCGUUUGCACAACUAUGAGAAAGAGAAGAAGAUCGCAAUGGCAUCACUUGAGUUCCAAGACUAUGUGCUCAUAUGGUGGGAACAAGUCCUUGAGCACCGAGAAGCACGAGGUGACCCUCCAAUCACCACUUGGGCUCAAAUGAAGGAUGUCAUGCGAGCACGAUUUGUGCCCACCUACUACAACCGUGAUCUCUUCAAGAAGCUACAACUCCUCAAGCAAGGUACAAAGAGUGUUGAAGAAUACUACAAGGAGAAGGAGAUAGCCUUGAUUCGAGCCAAUGUCAAGGAAGAUGAUGAGCAAACAAUGGCAAGAUUCUUGAAUGGACUCAAUCAUCCCAUCAAGAAGAUCGCCGACUUCCAACCCUACUCCAACCUCAUCGAGCUCGUGCAUCAUGCGACAAAGGCGGAAUGUCAAGUGCAAGAUGACUUCAAGUACGCCAAGUACUCAUCCAAGACAUACGGCUUCUCCAACAAUCAAGCUUCAACAACUCCUCGAACAUCUACUUCAACCAAGCCUUCUCCAAGCAAUGACGACAAGACAAGCUACAAGAAACCUUCAUCAAGUUCAAGUCAUCUUCCUCCUAAUACAAGCAACCACAAGUCGCGUGCUUCUUCAUCUACUCCGACCGAUGCGACCGUCAAGACAAGCACUUUCAAAUGUUUCACUUGCGGCGGCCCAGGCCACAAGUCUUAUGAAUGCACAAACAAGCGCACCAUGAUCCUCAACGACGAUGGCACCUACGACUCAAUGAGUGACGAUGAAAUGGAAGAUAUUGAGCAAGUGGCCAUGCACCGGCGAGUGAACGAGGAUGAAGAUGAUAGAGUCUUUUGUGAUGAGGAUUCGAGCCCCGCUCUUGUUGUCUGCAAGGUCUUGACUCUUCAACAUCAACAAGAAUAA